AUUAUAUGGAGACAUGUAGUUCUCAAUAUUUAGCUGUAGCUGUUUACAUUUAAGGUGUUUCUUCAUUUGUAAGUUACCUAUGUUUCUCAAAAGCAUAGUUUUCAGGAAAACUUGGAGUAAAUUGGUAAGAUUGAAGUUAUUUUAGUUUCCUACCUGCCUCCAUUUCGUAGCAUGAGCAGAAUGGUUUUGAGAAAAUUUAAUUAACCAGCCAAAGCUGGUGAGUGAGUACUCUGCCGUCGUUGCCACGGCAAGUAUUCAGGAAACAUGUGUGGAGACACGUUCCCGUUUUAGGUCCUAACAGUGCCUUGGCCAGUUUUGUUCCGACUGCUUGAUUUAGUAGUGUAAUGUUCCUCCCAGUGGGCACAGGUUCGCGAGGAGGCUUGUGGGCUGGGCUCUUCUUCUGCAGCGUGCGGGAGUGCAGAGCGCCCCUGCCCUGCCUGUGUGAGUGUUUGCCAUAUCUGUGCUUUAAUCACAAAGAUGGGAGUUUCCCAGGAUAACGAACUGGGAGGAAGCCAAACCUGCCUGUUAGUCUUUGCAGUCCGUGGAGGUGUAGCCAUUGUGUAGCCCUUAUUUAUGCAUUGAUUUCUUCCAAAGUCUUUACUAUCUACUUCAAGAGCCUCAUGGUUUUUGUAAUUGUUUGUAAUGAGAAUACAUAUUUAGGUUGCAAUUGAGAAAAUGCUUUACCGAGUUAAAUUUAUUUCAGCUGUCUAGUGCACUGAUGAAAUCUUUAAAACUAGGACUUUAAGUAGUUAUAAAUAUUAUAAGUGUUUUUGUAUUUUAAUUAGCUUAUGAUUGUGCCACCACUUACAUUCAUGACAUCUUCACGUCAAAGGUGCAUUGCAGUGUAAGAGCUGGCUGUUCUCUCAAAUGCUUGCAGAAUGCAGGAGCAGGCUCUGAAAGGGUUGUACGCACACGGAAAUAAGUAGUCUUUGCUUAGUCUGUGUAUUUACCCGUGUUUUAAGUGUUUAUAGAAACCCCUAACAUUUAAAAAUAUAUCAUCAUUUAUAAAAUGAGUUUAUUCUUUGAGCAAAACAUUCUUGUAAGAGGAACAAAAUUAUCCCAAUAAUAGUGUAAACCGAGCCAGGCAUAGCAGCAGACAGAAAAAUACAUUCAGCCGGUAGGAUCAUGGAUUUGUUUGAUUCAAGUAAUUGAAAGUGUUUCAUACUAUUAUUGCAACUUGAAGGCUUGUUUAAGUGUCUAACUGUCAGUCACACUGGAAGGUGAAAAGUAUUCAAUUGUCACUCUGUCAGUCAAUAGAGAUGAGAACUGUCUGCCUAAUGGAUUUCUUUACAUAGAUGUCUGCAUGGAGGUAGAAGUAAAAUCAAUGUGUUGUCAUGUGUGAGUAUGCUGCAUCAAACUGCCAGGUGAAUUGCAACUGUAUUUCUGUAACAUCUACAUUCUUGUGUUGUUUGUGUAAGGCAGCUGGGAGGUCUGCAUGUGCCGCUGUGAGAUGCUGAUGCUGGGAACCUGUAUUUUCUCUGAGAGACCGUUUUUUGCUGUCACCUGUGCCCAUGGAAAUAUCUAUUUCAACCUCU
rnacentral:lncRNA from 1 species